rnacentral:rRNA from 1 species
GAUGAACGCUGGCGGCGUGCCUAAUACAUGCAAGUCGAGCGAAAGGACGGGAAGCUUUCGUUUCUGAGGUUAGCGGCGGACGGGUGAGUAACAAGUGGAUAGCCUACCUAUAAGUCUGGGAGAAUUUCGGGAGACAGGAGAUAAUACCGGAUAAUAUUUUGAACGGCAUGGUUCAAAAGUGAAUGACGGUUUUGCUGUCACUUAUAGAUGGUUCCGCGCUGCAUUAGCUAGUUGGUAAGGUAACGGCUUACCAAGGCAACGAUGCGUAGCCGACCUGAGAGGAUGAUCAGCCACACUGGAACUGAGACACGGUCCAGACUCCUACGGGAGGCAGCAGUAGGGAAUCUUGCACAAUGGGCGCAAGCCUGACCGAGCAACACCGCGUGAGUGAAGAAGGUCUUCGGAUCGUAAAACUCUGUUAUUAGGGAAGAACAGAAGUAUGUGUAACUCUGGACGUCUUGACGGUACCCAAAGAAUAAGCCACGGCUAACUACGUG